GGUCAUUCCUCGGUCAACUGCUCAUCUCUGCUGUUGUUCCAAGCAGGCUUCCCAAGCCACUACAGGAAGGACCAGACGAUUUCUUUAAGGAAUUGCACUAUUUAUAAAAUAAAUAUAAAAAUCAGAUCUCUAUUUUGCACAAGUGACAAGUUACGAGGGCUCCAGCAGCUGUAUAUUUGUUGAACGCCCGCCUCCUAUGUGAUGAGUCACACUUUGUGACAUUUUUCAGGAGGACUCUACAGAAAGCGGUGGAAGGCAGUCGGGCUCGGCUUUCACGGUGAGCAGAAUGGGCUCGCAGGCUUUGUCUGAAGCCCAUCAGGAGCCCGAUUUCAACGCCAUGAGUACUGCACGACAGGGGAGGCGUCGCAGAGAAAGGGCUAGGAUCCAGUAGUGCUGCCUGAAAACAAGAUUCCUGCCUCUGCCACAGCUAUUCUCUACCCUGGUGACACCAACAGUCAUUAACAACCGGCACAAUUUUAGAGCGACUUGUAUUUACACGUAAGGACAAGGACUCAUUAUCGUCAUCAUCUACAUACUGUUGUUUUACAUAACAGCUGCAGUAGAGCAAGUGCACUUUGGUCAAUAGUUUCAUUUAUAAUAAAGUAAUAAAUUAGGAAUAUUUUUCCCCUGACAAUAAGUUUUAUGCCAAGAUUUUAUGUAGCUUAAAGCAAGUUGUCAAUUAGGCUACUUAAAUUAAUUUUUGGCAGGAGUUAAUUGGAGCCUAGAGUCUUUUGUCUUUAAACAGCUAAUCCUAAACAAGAAAAUACAAUUAUUAAAUGUUUCUUAAACAAUAUUAUUCACAGAAUAUAAAAUAUAGCAUUUAAUUAAGAUUUGGGCUUGUAAUUUUUUUUUUUCUUUUAGAGAGAUUAAUUUAAACUUCAAAUAAAAUUGCUACCAUGACUCUGAUUAAACCGGCUUACUGCAAGGCUAUGGUCUGAGACCUUCCAACACUCCUAUUGAUCUUAUACCCAAAGGCAAAUUAUUUUGGAUUACUUUCUAAAGAGACAUAGUUUGCCCUUUCAGAGAAGCAGGACAUUCCUUUUUGGAGCUCCAGAAGUCUAAGAGUUGUGUUCACAGGAUAAAAAUUUUCUAUUAUUACAUUCAGGUACUAGUAAAUAUGCUAAAAAAAUAAAAGACUUCAGUGAGGCUUCCCAGCAUGGCCAGCUUCCGGGCAGGAAACCAAGACUUCUUAAAACCAGAAAUCAUGGGGGUUUACUUCAAAAAGGUUGGUAACCAAAAGUGCAGUCCAAGGUUCUGAUUAGACUAAUUUGCUUCAUUUCAGUAAAAGUAGAGCAGUUAGAGAGAGAUCUCCUACUCUUGAUGUAAAAUUUUUCAAAUUCUGGAAAUCUGCUGUAUUCACGGGUAAAUGUAGCAUGCGGUAUCAUGAUUUGCAGAGAAAUGAGUCCUGGUAGAGUAAUAUUCCUGAUUGAAUCUCUUCUUUAUAUCCACCAUAAGUUAUGAAGAGUGAAUUUAGGCACAAUGCUUUGCAACAUUACACAGGAGUUCAAGAUAAGAAAGAUGGGGCUCGGAGAAACCUGCUCUAGUGGAAGGUGUCCCUGCCCAUGGCAGGGGGUUGGAACUGGAUGAGCUGUAAGGUCCCUUCCAACCCAAACUGUUCUAGGAUUCUGUGAUUCUAAUUUGUAAUUAAUGAAUUCAUUAAAGAGCAAAAAAGGAUGAUGCAUUUUAAA